rnacentral:rRNA from 1 species
GACGAACCGUGCGAACGUUGUUCGGAUUCACUGGGCUUAAAGGGCGCGUAGGCGGGCAUUCAAGUCGGUGGUGAAAUCUUUCAGCUUAACUGGAAAACAGCCUUCGAUACUGGAUGUCUGGAGGAAGGUAGGGGCAUGUGGAACUUCCGGUGGAGCGGUGAAAUGCGUAGAUAUCAGGAGGAACACCGGUGGCGAAGGCGGCUACCUGGACAGAAACUGACGCUGAGGCGCGAAAGCUAGGGGAGCAAACAGG